GUGUAAUUUAUGAUAUUUUCUCCUGGGUUAGACUGGUAGUUGCUUUUGGAGGUGGAAAUGAAGGAUUGAAAACCUAAACCUAUUAGUUAGACUAUACCCCUCUUUUGAUUGUGUUUCGGGUAAAAAUCUACGAUACUGCUUUGCAUGAGAAAGAUUAAUUAAGUUGUCAUUAGGAUGCGUAAAGUAAUUUGUUUUGAAACCUUGUAAAAUAGGAAAUUUUGAAACAAAAAGAUAGGAAAUUUCUAGG
rnacentral:misc_RNA from 1 species